rnacentral:tRNA from 1 species
UAGCUCAGUGGUAGAGCACCAGACUCUUAAUCUGGCUGUCACGGGUUCGAGCCCCGC